CACUACUAGAAAACUUGUCUUUUACGACGCGCAAAUUACGGCGUGCAUGGAAUGCAUGCCGUAAAAGAUUGUCUUUUACGGCGUUUUUUUUUGUGCGCUGUGAAAAACUUCUCUUUCUGAUCUUUUACGGCGUGCAUUUCGUGUGCGCCGUAAAUGCUACAUUUCAUUUACGGCGCAUAUUUUAUGUGCGCCGUAAAAGACUUAUUUUCUGAUCUUUUACGGCGUGUUUUUAUUGUGCGCCGUAAAAAAAAUUACAUUAUAUUUACGACAUGCUUCUAUGUGUGCCGUAAAAGACCUUCCAAUUUUUUCUUUUACGGCGCAUUUUUCAUGCGCGUCGUAAAUGCCAAAAAGAGUUCGAAACCCCGCUAUUAUUUUAGCUCAAAUUCUAAUUUCCCUCCUUUUGAAGUUUGCUAUCAAAUACCAAGGGAUUGAGCCGAGAAAAGAAAUUAAAAAAAACUCUCCCAAAGCCUGUCUCUCUCGUCCUCCCUCUCUAUAUAUCCAUCAUAGCAAACACUCUUUCUCUCUCUUAGAACUUGGGAAACAAAAUGGGUCAGGGAACUCCAGGCGGUUUGAACUGGCAAGGCCUACCGGGCAACCGAAAGCCCAACGGCAACGACAAGAAGGAGAAGAAGUUCGAGCCGGCGGCGGAGCCCGAGUGGGCCGCAAGCAGCGGAAACAGAAGGGUCCAGAAGCGGCGGCGAGGCUUCCGACGGUGACGCCGCUGACCAAGUGCAAGCUCCGGCUACUGAAGCUGGAGCGGAUUAAGGAUUACCUGCUUAUGGAGGAGAAGUUUGUGACGAACCAGGAGCGGCUGAAGCCUGAGGAGGAGAAGGCCAAGGAGGACAGAUCUAAGGUCGACGAUCUACGUGCCUCGCCCAUGAGCGUCGGCAAUCUGGAGGAGCUGAUCGACGAGAACCACGCGAUUGUUUCGUCGUCGGUGGAGCCCGAGUACUAUGUGGGGGUCCUCUCCUUUGUCGAUAAGGACCAGUUGGAGCCUGGGUGCGCCAUUUUGAUGCACAAUAAGCUUAAUCUUGGUGUGGAUGAGAGUAUACUCUGUUUGUAUUGAAGAAAGAUGGGAAAGCUAUUGUUGGGGAGGCCACCAUUGAGGUCCAAGGUCAUAAUUAUGGAUGCUGAUGGUACUCGUUCCAAAGCAAUUGCAAGAUCCUUGAGAAAGCUGGGGCUUAAGAUGCCUUACUUGCUUCAAGGUGGCUUUCGAUCUUGGGUGAAAGAUGGUCUUCGAAUUAAAGAACUCAAACCUGAGACAACACUUACCAUACUCAAUGAGACUUUAUUUGUAGCUGGACACUUUAUUUACAGGGCAUACAUAGGAUCUAUACAAAUCUUGCGAUGCAAACAGCUUUAUUUCCCAACAAUCUGCUGCAGAAAAGUUCUCCAGAUUUGAUGUAGUAUUUCGGAUUUUGAUGAACUUUCGGAGCAAGGUUUGGGUUUGUUUCGGAAAAGCUUGCUGCUAGAAUUUUGAUCGACUUCGGGAGAAACAUUUCAAUUGUUGUUCUUUCCGCAGCAACCCGCGGGUACGUUUUCUAGUUAAGAGACUAUAUAUGGCGUGGUCAUGAUCCUACCUCUGUUGCAGUCAUGACUGAGGAUGGCGCUGCUGUAGCUGGUCUUGCUAUUGCUGCAGCAUCAUUGGUUGCUGUAAAUGUCACAGGAAAUGGAAUUUACGAUCCUAUAGGUUCCAUUGUAGUUGGCAACCUUCUUGGAAUGGUGGCUAUCUUUCUGAUACAAAGGAAUCGACAUGCUUUAAUUGGUAGGGCAAUGGAUGACUAUGAUGUAGAGAAGGUUCUUCAGUUCUUGAAAAAUGACCUGGUUGUCGAUUCUUUCCUUUUAUUUGUUUUGCACGUGGUGCAUUCUUGGUUUUCCUUUUGCUGUUGGCAUAUUAAUUUACAUUUUGUUAUGUGAUAUUGCAGUUUGUUAUCUCUCUUUUCA